rnacentral:sRNA from 1 species
AGAUGUCAGGGUGAUCUGACUAAGAAAUCUGUCACUUCAUUGAUUGCCAGGGUUGAUUCAACUGAUCUGGCUGGCUAGGCAAGUGUCCCCUUCCUCCCUCACCAUUCCAUGUGUAUUCCUCCUGAAGCUGCACGCUAAGUUGAAGAGAAUGGUUAUCCCCCAUAGAGGAGGACAAGUCUUUGAUCAAGAGUAUAUGAGCAGUUGCACUACCCUGCAAAUGCCUCCAAACAAGCUCUCAGGAAAUCAUUUCCCCUUCUCCCCAGGGUUUUCUUCCAGAAGUAUUACGGUUAUGGGUUUUGCCUUAAGGUCUAUGACGUAGCUGGAAUUCAGUUUUGUGUAAGGA